AAACGACUUCACGCUACAGCGCUGGAGGAGAGCGUACACACGCACAGUGACGUCAUGACGUAAACACGCGCUGUGUCUUUCAGGAAGAGGUUUGGAUGGGACCUGCAUCCAUGAGUGUGCUCUUGCUGGAGGCGUUCUAUGGUGGUUCCCACAAACAGCUGGUUGAUCUUCUCAAGGAAAGUGUUGAAGACUGUGUAAGCUUCACUCUGCCUGCAAAGAAAUGGCACUGGAGGGCCAGAACGUCUGCUCUGUACUUCAUGCAGGCAGUUCCAGCAAGUUCCUCGUACAGGGUUUUGUUUACCAGCUCCGUUCUCAGUCUUGCUGAACUUGUAGCCUUGCGGCCUGAUCUCACCCGUCUUAAGAAGGUCCUCUACUUCCAUGAGAACCAGUUGGUUUAUCCAGUUCGCAAGAGCCAAGAAAGAGACUUCCAAUAUGGCUACAACCAGAUCCUCUCAUGCCUGGUUGCGGAUGUGGUGGCCUUCAACUCUUCAUUCAACAUGGAGUCCUUCCUCUCCUCCAUCUGCACCUUCAUGAAGACCAUGCCUGACCAUCGGCCCAAAGAUCUGGACCAGCUCAUCCGGCCCAAGUGCUGCGUCCUCCACUUCCCAAUUCGCUUUCCCGAUGUCACAAGAUUCCUUCCUGCACACAAACGUCUCAGGCAUUCAGUGCGGUGUGAUGAUAUCCACGCUCCAGCUACUCAAAGCCACGUUCAAACAUCAGCUCCAAGUUGUCCAGAGCUCACAAUAGACUCUGAGCCACCUGAGGAGAUUCUCAAUGUGGCAGGGCCGCAGCAGUACCAGAAGACGUUGCAGAAUCAGCCAGUGUCUCAUCCGUGUGGCAAUGAGAGAGGGAGUCUUCGGCCACUCCACAUAGUCUGGCCACAUCGCUGGGAACAUGACAAAGACCCACAGCUGUUCUUCCAGACCUUACUGAAACUCAAAGAACAACAGCUGAGCUUUGAAGUUUCUGUCCUGGGAGAGACCUUCACUGAUGUUCCAGACAUCUUUUUAGAAGCCAAAAAACAGUUGGUUGACCACAUCCAGCACUGGGGUUUCAUGCCCAGUAAGGAAGAUUACCUCAAAGCGCUGUGCCAAGCAGAUGUCGUCGUUUCCACGGCCAAGCACGAGUUUUUCGGAGUAGCAAUGUUAGAAGCGGUCCAUUGUGGCUGUUACCCCCUCUGUCCGAGGGCUUUGGUAUAUCCUGAAAUAUUCCCUGCAACAUAUCUGUAUUCAACACCUGAACAGCUGUGUAAAAGACUACAAGACUUCUGCAAACGUCCACAGUUAGUCAGACAACAUGUUACUCAGGUGAACCUCAGUGCUUUCUCCUGGGACACUCUGGGGGACAGUUUCAGAUCUCUCCUGGGAGCCGAAAGUGACAGGAAGUUAACAGAGGAGCAAAUGUCAUGAUGUGACCCCAAGAAAUACAUUAUGAUUUAAAAUCCAGCCUCAUUGUGAAAGAGAGUUUAUGACCCGGAAAAACCUCUGCUAUUAUUUAAGAAAAACAUGUAUAUGUGAUUUUAAUGUUCUCAUGUGGCGGAAAAAAGCUAUUUUAUAUUUGUGGUUAAUGGAAAAAAGAACAAAGUAAAAAUAAACAAUCAAAAAACCUGAAACCGCUUUCGUGUUGUGCCUAGGCGGGCCCACCUCAUAUUUCGGUUCAUAUCCAUUUUUAUCCUUUGUGCCGGAGGACUCCAGCCUGGAAUUCUGGAGUCUUCGGUUCCCACUCCGACAGAGCGGCAGCCAAGUUGUGGCUUGAAACGUUGUGGGCUCUCGCUCCACCUGAGGUUGCCAGGUUGUGACAAAGUCCACCGAGGCUCAGUAAAAGUUGAUGCAAGGCUUCCCCAGGACUGUGGUUGAAUCUAAAUAUGGUUCUUUUAUUUUCCUUGCAUCCUAGAUCUGGCUGUACGUUGCAACCGGGAACCCACUGCGUAAUUAAGGGGCCAUGGAGCAGAUGGAUGCGAUUGACCUGUUUCCACCUCAUCCGGCAAUGUCAGAUGAAUUUGCCAUCUACUCCGGGCCGACCCAAGGUGGCACCUGCCGGUGAUUUACUCCGGUUUAG